rnacentral:rRNA from 1 species
AACGAACGCUGGCGGCAUGCCUAACACAUGCAAGUCGAACGAGACCUUCGGGUCUAGUGGCGCACGGGUGCGUAACGCGUGGGAACCUGCCUUUAGGUUCGGAAUAACUCAGAGAAAUUUGAGCUAAUACCGGAUAAUGUCUUCGGACCAAAGAUUUAUCGCCUUUAGAUGGGCCCGCGUUGGAUUAGCUAGUUGGUGGGGUAAAGCCUACCAAGGCGACGAUCCAUAGCUGGUCUGAGAGGAUGAUCAGCCACACUGGGACUGAGACACGGCCCAGACUCCUACGGGAGGCAGCAGUGGGGAAUAUUGGACAAUGGGCGAAAGCCUGAUCCAGCAAUGCCGCGUGAGUGAUGAAGGCCUUAGGGUUGUAAGCUCUUUACCCGUAGAUGAUAAUGACAGUAU